AACAGGAUUAGAUACCCUGGUAGUCCACGCCGUAAACGAUGUCGACUUGGAGGUUGUGCCCUUGAGGCGUGGCUUCCGGAGCUAACGCGUUAAGUCGACCGCCUGGGGAGUACGGCCGCAAGGUUAAAACUCAAAUGAAUUGACGGGGGCCCGCACAAGCGGUGGAGCAUGUGGUUUAAUUCGAUGCAACGCGAAGAACCUUACCUGGUCUUGACAUCCACAGAACCUUGUAGAGAUACGAGGGUGCCUUCGGGAACUGUGAGACAGGUGCUGCAUGGCUGUCGUCAGCUCGUGUUGUGAAAUGUUGGGUUAAGUCCCGCAACGAGCGCAACCCUUAUCCUUUGUUGCUAGCGGUCCGGCCGGGAACUCAAAGGAGACUGCCAGUGAUAAACUGGAGGAAGGUGGGGAUGACGUCAAGUCAUCAUGGCCCUUACGACCAGGGCUACACACGUGCUACAAUGGCGCAUACAAAGAGAAGCGACCUCGCGAGAGCAAGCGGACCUCAUAAAGUGCGUCGUAGUCCGGAUUGGAGUCUGCAACUCGACUCCAUGAAGUCGGAAUCGCUAGUAAUCGUGGAUCAGAAUGCCACGGUGAAUACGUUCCCGGGCCUUGUACACACCGCCCGUCACACCAUGGGAGUGGGUUGCAAAAGAAGUAGGUAGCUUAACCUUCGGGAGGGCGCUUACCACUUUGUGAUUCAUGACUGGGGUGAAGUCGUAACAAGGUAACC
rnacentral:rRNA from 1 species